AACAACUUCUGUCAAAACCAAGACUCCGCCGUCAAGCCGCCAUGUUUGACAGAUGACGUCACAAGUCACGUGAUCCAUAGUUGUUCGUAAACACUGAACGACCGGCGUCCGGCGAUUCCAGUACCCCUUCCUCUUACGAUGACGGAAUCGGAUGAAGAUGUUCUCAGAAACUAGGACGAAUUUCAGUUUUUCAACUAACAAGUUUAUUAUAUUUGAUUUGAAACGUUCAUGCAAAACAAAACUGAAUUACAGAAUGAAACAUAAUGCCGAAGAAUACUCUUUUUACACAGCUAUUUUACUACAGUGCAAAUUGAAAGGACGAUUGAUGCUUGUAUUUAAA